UACGAACAAGGUAAUCAAGGCUGUCCACCAUGAGAUCAAAAACAUCACAGAAACGCAUAGAACAGCACCGGCAAGACUGAGCCACAUGUUGUAAUACUGAAAUACAUCAAGAAAAUAUAUAUAUCAACUAUCAUUUCAAACGAAAGGACUAAAUCACCUUCAAGUCACCGGAUAUAUUCGCACCUGCCAGGAUACCUGUUGCUGCCGGAAAGAAGAUAGCUAGGACUGAAAAGAAGUCAUGCUUCACGCCUUCGCUAUAUCUGUAGUCCGAAUGCAAAUUGUCCAUGAAUAGAUCAGCUGGAAACAUGAAAAUACGGGCCCUAUGAAGGUACCAAUCAUGAAAUCAAGGAUAGCUGCAAGAAGUAUGACCAGAAGACCGAUCUGAGCCUUUGCUUCCCACUCCAAACCUACCAUUACGAUUAAGAGAAGGAAAACUAUGGUCACGCAACCUAUUAAUGAAAAGACGUUACGCGUAAAUUGAGAUUUAGAGGUGGUUAUCGACAUUGAAGGUGAUUCGUCUAGAGGAAGGGUCGUCCGCGAGUCGCCCAAUGAAGACUAACGAUUUACGUAACGACGCCUCGCAUAUCGUAUACGACGGGCAUACGACGCCCAACAUCGGAAUGCUUUUUACAAAGGAAAUUCAAAAAUGUUCGUUUGUUACUUUAACUGUGACGAACGUUGAGAUUGAACGCCAGAUCUUGAAUUAUUAGCUUGAAGUUUCACCUUGAGAAGAAGCCCCGAACGGAACAUAUCCAAUAAAGGAAGGACAAUUAAACAAUCGGAUUGUUUUCCAAUGUCAUAACAAAAAAACAUAAUGAAGGAAGAAAAUAUUGGAAAUCGACUGUAUUUACACAUGUGUAUAAAUUUUUCGACGAACGACCCGACGCGGGAAUCUAUAGCGACUCUUAAAAGAGACGCUCGUUUCGUCCAAUUAUUUCCCGUUAUAUCCACGAAUAUCUUGCCUUGGACUCUACUAUAAUUGCGAAAUUAUUCUUGCACACCUCCGCAGAUCCAAUCUCGUGACACUUUGCCCUCUACAAAUAACGGUCAAUGCAUCUGUGUUUCUUUUAUUUUUCUUUUUUUUUGUAUUUUUUUUUCUUUUUUUUUUAAUUUUCUUUGUUUCCUUUUUUUCUUUUUUUUUUACACAUUCCAAACCGACAUAGAAAAGCGUCGUCGAUCAUCUUGAUUUUUGAUCGUGUCAAUGCUAUGUGUGUUACGUCAUGAUGCGUUACGCGCUUAGACAUUUCGUGACAUGUGCCGCGAUAGUGAAAUAAUAACGAACGCUUAACCCUCGCAACAUAAUGUAUUCGAAGCACGCGAUUUCCUAUAUUAAGUCCGAUGUAGGUAUGCACUAUGCCUGACAAUCCGGAUCAACGACUGGUGUUUCUAUUUUCUGAAUCAUUGCCACUAUAGUGAUACGAGACCUGUAAUUAUUUCUCGUUGUUUUAUUCUUACUACGAAUGCAUUUCAUUCAAAGACAAGAUUUCAUUUUGGAUAAGGAUAGAGAAAUGUUAAAAAUCCACGAUGACUCAUGUCUGAUAAUAAUCGUCCGUUGCGAUGAUUACUUUGUGCACAUAUUACGUUGGCCUUCCUUAUGGAUCUCGUUUAAACAUUUAACAACGCCGCCGUUAGAAGGGACAUUCGGUGAAGACGUCGAAAAGGAAGCGAUUUUUCAAAAAAGUUUCUCCAUGAAUAAGAUCCCUUUUCUUGUUUCCUAUGUUGUAUGUAUUAAAUCAUUAAUGAUCAAUGAUAUUUCGUUUUACGUAGACAUCAUUUCUAAAUAACCAAUAUUUCUAAGCUACUAUAUGUAUAUAUGUAUAUAUGUAUGUAUAUAUGUAUGUAUAUAUGUAUGUUUGCAUAUUUAAUGAAAAACUCGUAAUAUAUAAGCGUUUCGUGAAAAAUUUAUUCUGGAGAUAAUCCCGUGGCUGACUGUAAUCGGAAAUUAUCGUCUUUAUUAUCGUCAGAAUAAAAUUCCUCAUCUGCGUUGCCAUUUAUUUCUUCGUAAACAUUAAAUCUUUUAACAUUUCAUAUAUUCGCAUUCACGUUUCCUGUCGUUUAUAGAAGAAUCUUCGCGUUCCUUUUUCAUGCCUGAGCAUAUCAAAAGGAAUCUCAUCCGGCGAGACAGAAAUAUGGGCGUUAAGAUAGGAGGAGGUUGGAGAUAUAACAACGAAUCUGUUUAAAAUUGAGCGAUUCGAAUUCGUUUCAGCUGAAUCAAAAAAUGAUUAUUCGAAAUGGAAGAUCGUUAACUUCCGCGUUAUAUUUGAUCUCUUAUCGUUCGUGGCGUUAAUAACGACCGCAUGGUCGAUCUCAAAGACUUCGUCGUAGUUUCCAGAUGAUGCUUUAAUUGACUGACAGAACGUGAGGGUCUUCGUUUUGACCCAACAACGUUUACGACGAGACUUUCAUAGACAAAAAAAAAUGUGUCACUCUUACGUGACAUAGUACGCGAUAUCCUAUUCCGUAAUCGAACAAGUUUCUUUUUAUAUCGUAAUGUGCAUUGGUAUGCGAGACGACUAUUCUAUCAACUUUCUAACUUAAACGAUUUCUCUAAGAAAAAAAAUAUUAGAUAGUCUAUAUAUAUAAAUAUAAAUAGAUAUCUAUCCAUGUAUAUAUAUAUAUACACACAAACACGUACAAUUUCAAAAAAGAAAACAUUUUUGAGAAAGUAUUAUAGUUACACACAGUUAUGUUGUCGGAAACCUUAAUUUUUGUAGAUAUGCGCGUUUUCUACAUUCUAAACCUAAGCCUGCAAUAUGAGCUUGUAAAAUAUUUGUUGAUUCUUGUAACUUUAGUAAACUUGCAACUUUAGAAUCACUUUCACUCUUGGUUCUAAUAAAAUUACUUAGAGAUAUGUUUAGAAACAUUUACAAUUAUUCAAUAUCGAAUAAAUAAUAUUCUUUAACGAUUGUCCACGCAUCGUUCCACUUUGCUAUACCAAAUCGGAUUAUUUUCCAGAAGUAAGAAGAUUGAGGAACAGUAUUGAACGGAUUAACGUCGGACGAUAUGUACAUCAAUUAUGUUCUUAAGGAAAAUAAACGUGAAGUACCUAUAUAAUGUGCUUUAUAAAUUUACGUUUACAUAUAGACAUUUGCAGAAAAGCAACGAUAAAAUUUAAGAGGCUUUAGAAAAUGAUUUACCUUUCAUGCUUGAACGUCGUUUGUUCAAAUAUUGAAAGCCAAUUUUAGAAACUUCUAAUCUAUGAUAGUAAUAUAUAUAUACACAUAUAACUUUCAAAAAUUGAUACUUUCUUGAUCCGCAUUCAUAAGAAAUUUUGAUAAAAGUAGAAGAGCCUUUUUCACGCCUAUAACGAAGGAAGAAGCGUUGGGUGGAAGGAUAUUAUAGAGGGGAAUAAAAAAAGGAUAAAAAAUUAAAAAAUGUAGAAAAAGAGCUUCAUUUCG